GACGAUGUGGCCGAGUGGUUAAGGCGGCAGACUGCUAAUCUGUUGGGUUAUCCCGCGUGGGUUCGAAUCCCACCGUCGUCG